AUGAUGGAAGAAGUAAAAUUUUUUGCAGAACAAAUGUUUUGUUUGCAGUGUCCGUUUCAGAUACAUCAGGUGAAGCAAAAUAUGGAGUAGGCUAAGGCAGUGUAUUCAGCAUUCUCUGCGGAAAUAAUGUGGCCAUUCAAAUCAAGUGUCAGCUGGAAAGAGGAAUAUCAAGGGUGCUUUUUACAUUAACUUCAAAGUAGCCAUUGGAAAAUUCAAGACAGAUCUGCUACAGUAACUGUACAUAAAGUAGCAUACAUGUGUGACAGGAAAGGAGGAAAAUGUAUGGCUGGACCGAGAUUCUAACCUGGG